rnacentral:lncRNA from 1 species
UUGUAUUCAAAUGACUCGAAUUGUUCUUGUUUUCAAGCAUGUUAUGUGAAUUGCAGACACUUAAUGAAUUGCAUGUAAUAAAUAUAAUAUGUGAACAGUAAAAGUAAAAAGUAUAAAAGAAAAGAAAAAAAAAGUGGAAUGAAGCCCGUAUGGUCUAAAGUGUAUUUGUAUUGACAUGCAUAUUGCAUGAAGUGUCUCAUUAGGCUUUUUAUGUCUGAGAGGUAUCU